AAAGUUAGCAACGGGAAUGCUUUUUUACAAUAUAUCUCUUCUCUCUUUAGUAUAAUUUAAAAAAACUAAAGAGAGAAGAGAAAAUAUUUAUAUAGUAAAUAAUAUUUGCAUUUUAAACUCUUUAUGUUAAAAUUAGAUGAUUUUUUAAUAGAAGAUUCAUUUAUUAGUUUUGUAAUUCAAAAAUAGGUUUGGAAUUAUCUCAGGCAAAGCCUGUGCCAGCCGCCGCGGUUAUACAGGCUGGGGAAAAGUAUUGCUGUUAUAAUAAUAAAAUUUAUAUGGAUAUUUUUUUUAAUUAGGUGAAAUUUUUAUAUAAAUUUAUGUUUUUGUUUUAAGGAAAUUUUUGGUUUAAAUUAGGAUUAGAUACCCUAUUAUUCUAAAAUUUGAGGUUGGUAGUGUUUUUAGAUUUUUAAAUCUAAAGAUUAUGGCGGUAUUUUAAGCUAUUUAGAGGAAUUUAUUCUUUGAUAGAUAAAACUCAAAAAUCUUACUUAAAUUGGUCAAGCAGCUUGUAUAUCGCUAUCAGGGAAUGAUGUUGAUUGAUUAAUAAUUAAGAUUACAUUUAGUAAAAAUGUUAGGUCAAAAUGCAGUAAAAGUUUAAGGUUGAAAUAAAUUACUUCUAUUAAUAUAAGGAAUAUUGAAAGGUAAGUUUAGGAUUUAAAAGUAAAUUGGAAUUAUAAUGUUUAGUUGAAUUUAGCUCUAAAAUAUGCACAUAUCGCCCGUCACUCUCAGUGAUGAGAUAAGUCGUAACAAAGUAAAGGUACCGGAAGGUGUUUUU
rnacentral:ncRNA from 1 species